rnacentral:rRNA from 1 species
ACGCGAAAGGGGAGCAAUCCCUGAGUAGAGUGGCAAACGGGUGAGUAACACGUGGGUGACCUGCCUCAGAGUGGGGGAUAACGUCCCGAAAGGGACGCUAAUACCGCAUAACAUCCUGCCUUUGGAAAGGCGGAGAUCAAAGCCGGGGAUCGCAAGACCUGGCGCUUGGAGAGGGGCCCGCGUCUGAUUAGCUAGUUGGUAGGGUAAUGGCCUACCAAGGCGACGAUCAGUAUCCGGCCUGAGAGGGCGGACGGACACACUGGGACUGAGACACGGCCCAGACUCCUACGGGAGGCAGCAGUGGGGAAUUGUUCGCAAUGGGCGCAAGCCUGACGACGCAACGCCGCGUGGAGGAUGAAGAUCUUCGGGUCGUAAACUCCUGUCGAGCGGGAAGAACACUUUCCGGGUGAACAAUCCGGAAGGCUGACGGUACCGCUAAAGGAAGCCCCGGCUAACUCCGUGCCAGCAGCCGCGGUAAUACGGGGGGGGCAAGCGUUG